UGUACAGGUGAGGGUGGAGUAGAGGAUUGGGAAGGAGCCCAUGGGACGAGAGAGAACAGCGGAGAUGCGGGAGUAGCAGCGCGGGAGAAGCAGCGAGGGAGAGGCGAGGAGGAAAAAGAUCCUCACAGGCUGAACUAAAUUCACUAAUAAUUAGUAUUAAUUAAACUAACCGGUAAUUUUAAGGACACUGAAGUCCAUACUGAGAGUGUGCUGGUGGAUAAAGCUGGGAUAAUCUCUCUAUAAGUGAAGUUCUGUUAGCACUGUUAGCUUAGCCAGCUCGGCUAGCUGUGUUUAGCCUCGUGUAUUAGCUGCUCUGCGCUAGCCGUGAACUCUCCGCUGCAGCGCCGCUCCGACAGACUGUUCCCCGGACUGACUCGCGCUCUCUCCGCCUCCACUGAACACCAGGACCGCUAACACUGCUAACCAGAGAGCGCUCUGAGUCCCCGCGUGGAUCAGAGUUCCUCUGAGGGAAAACGCUCCGUGCUGCAGGACCCCGCGCUCUGCUCCCGCUCAUAUUCACUGAAUCUGAGAUGCCCUGUUCCUGAUGUUCCCAGCCUGGCUCUCCACUGCCCGCUGUGUUGUACUCCAGCUCUGCAACCCUGCACUGAUUACCAUUAACACACUCAGUAUCUGUUUCUGUAUUAGCCAUAGCUCUAUAGUUUGUGCCCAUCACAUUCUUAUAUUCAUAAAUUAGUACCUGUUAUAUUAGCCAUAGUUCACAUUAAUUCUCUGUACUGUUUUUGUUCUGUUAUUUGUUUGUUACUUGUUUGUACUGAGCGGGUCAACCCGAGUAGGAUGGGUUCCUCUAACUGAGUCUUGGUUCCUUCCAAGGUUUCUUCCUCUUAAAGGGAGUGUUUUCUUGCCACUGUGUCACCAUAAAAUUGGCAUCUCUGUGGUGCUGCUCAUAAGAGGCGUGGACCUGUUUUUCCUGUAAAGCGGCUUUGUGACAACCUUUGUUGUAAAAAGCGCAAUAUAAAUAAAAUUUAACUGAAUAUUGAAUACAAUGAUCAAUGUUACACAAUGUUCAGCAGUUAUCAUUUGAUAACCCUCUGAUUUGCUUAUUUAAUAGGACAAAUAUUUCUAAAAUGUUACACUGAUCUACAGAUAGGUAGUUGUAUAGUAUAGUAUAGUAUAGUAGUUCCUGGUGUAUAUUAUUUGAUUAGAUCUGGAUAAUAUAUGUUUAUUUAGCUGUAACUCGUUUCUUGUCCAUUUUCAGUCUCUGCACGAGAAGCGCAAGCCUUCACUUCUAUAGCUCCGCUGUGCACGCGGCUACCGUAAUACACAGCUAAGACGUGCACACAAGUUUUUGGUGCGGACAGCGCGACAGAUUUAACUAUUCCCUUAUAAUUUAUCAUCAUCAUCUCAUAGUCAGCGGGCCGGUUGUGGCCCGCUGGCCUUACAAUGCCCAGGUCUGCUUUAGAAGCAUGUCCCACCACAGCCUGGUCACGAAUGCCUUUAAUUCCCACGGCUCUCCUUCCACGAAAAGAGACUUCAACUCUGUCAAACUGCAUCAACCAACCAAUGAAGCCAUUAAUAUGCCUUUCAAUUCAAAAUAAUGUGCAAGACUUGGUCACCAAUGUGGAAGGACUGCUGCUCACCAUGUUCAUCCACUAGUAAAAUUCCCCCCUUGAUUCAUGCUGACCAGAUAAAAACCUGUUACUCCUAAAAUUAACACCAGCACAACACCACUGAUUUAACCCUAUGUGCAGUCAGGCUCAAUCACAACUCUACUUUUAACUCCCUUUUUUAUUUUAUUAACCCAUUGACUGCUGGGUCAACUGUAACUGCCCUUCAACCAGUUGAACAGUUUAGAUUAGAAGUUUGAGUGUGAGGUGACUUAACUGAUUUGCUUGUGCAAGUUUUGUUCUUGCUAUUAGAAAGGUUUGGUUAGGUGAUGCUUAUCUGCAAAGCUUGAGUUCAUCCAUCCUCUGUACCUCCUUUUUCAGAUCUGAUAUGGAGGCUUAAGGUUUUACACUAACAGGGAAUUCAUAGCUUAUCUAAAAUGAUUUUUAUUAUUUUGGGGAAAAAUUUACUUUGUAUAUUUUAUA